GCCCUGCGAGCCAGCCACCACUAAGACAUUAGAGGGCUGGUCAGCUUUCUGGUGGGUCCUCGUGGCCUUUGCCAUCUUCAUGUUCGUCAUCAUCGUCAUCCUGAUUUUCGCUGUGAAUGUCCUUUAUAAUGACUACAAAGAUUCAAUGCAAGCAAGAACAACUAUGCACAUAGUUCAGUGAUGUCAAAAGACUUUUAAAGAGUGGCUAUGAAAUUAAAUUUUUAAAAGCGAGGAGAGUCUACCCAUCUUGACUUGACUGGAAAUCCUUGUUUUCACAUAGCUUCAUGUUCCAAGCAUACUGAUUUCACAACACAUAGAGGAAAAAAAUUAAUUAGGAAAAGAGUUAACAAGAAAACUGUAUGAGAAAUGUUAAUUUUUGUCAGAGGAAAGUUAAAAUAUUAUGCCUCACUCAUGUUUGUUUCUGAGAGUUAUCACAACUGUUAGAGGGGAGGGGAGUUUGCUUAAUGUGAACAUGUUGCUUGCCAUAAAUUUAGGAAGUUUUUUGAAUGAAUGUUUUUGAGUGUGAGAGGAUAGUGAAUAGUGCUGUUUGAUUGUGGAAAAUGAUAAAAUAUAUGCUGUGAUGACACUGGAGGGUUAUUGCUCACUAUAAUUCCCUUUUCAUUUGUGUGAUAGCAAUAUAACAAUAAAUAUCAAGCUAUACAAACAUUCCAACUUUUUGUAGUAAUAUUCCAAGGACAGCUUUGGGAGUUUUUUGAGAUUUUGAACAAAUAUUAAUCUAUGUAAGAAAAUGAUUGAUUUAUUGAGAACAGGAAAAUGUUGUUAUUGUUAACCUAUGUCUCGGUUAGUGAUGUGUAUUUUCAUAUAUUUUUAUAUUAUUUAUACAUAUUUUUGUACUAUGAUGCAAUUUUGAUAAAAAUAUUUUUAUUCAAA